UGAGGAAUAUUGCACAAUGGAGGAAACUCUGAUGCAGCAACGCCGCGUGGAGGAUGACGCAUUUCGGUGUGUAAACUCCUUUUAUUAGGGAAGAAAAUGACGGUACCUAAUGAAUAAGCACCGGCUAACUCCGUGCCAGCAGCCGCGGUAAUACGGAGGGUGCAAGCGUUACUCGGAAUCACUGGGCGUAAAGGACGCGUAGGCGGGUUGGUAAGUCAGAUGUGAAAUCCUACAGCUUAACUGUAGAACUGCAUUUGAAACUACCGACCUAGAGUGUGGGAGGGGGAGAUGGAAUUAGUGGUGUAGGGGUAAAAUCCGUAGAUAUCACUAGGAAUACCGAAAGCGAAGGCGAUCUCCUGGAACAUAACUGACGCUAAGGCGUGAAAGCGUGGGGAGCAAACA
rnacentral:rRNA from 1 species